CUGAUUGGUUGAGUGCCCGCUUCAUUCCGACUUCGAACGCUGCCCUGAUCGCUGGAGAUAAAACACAACCACAUUGAGCGCGUGGACAACUAGGUCCACGCUUCCUUCUCGGUCCCGCCUCCUCGAGUCCUGAUUGGUUGGCUGCCGGGGCCAUUCCCGACGUCGGGCGCCUGAGAGCGGUAGAAAAAAAAAAAAAUCAGAAGGCCAUUGAGCGCGGCAAGGUCACAUGAGCGGAAGGGGGCGGAGCGAUGGAAGGGCGCCGAGGGAGAAACGGCGAGGCGGGAGGAGCUGCCGGGCGGCCUGCAAACGUGGAUCCGCCUCCAUCCGCAGCGGAGUAUCCCUGGAUGCAGCCCAGGAAGAAUCUGCCAUCUCUCCUCACCAUGGUGCUAGUCCACUUGAAGGAAGAGGUGCCUUCAGGAUGCUCGGGACACCGGAUACCAUCCUCCCCGGCCGUUUGGCUCCUUUUUCAGUUCUUACGGGGGCCUCUUUUCACACAAUCCCCGGAAACCGGUUGUGAGUUUGUGUCUGGCAAUCCUGGAUGAAGAUGGUUUGUCGGACAAGCCAGCUUUGAUGUUUGGACUCUGCAUCUCGGCCUAAUCGUGCUGCUCCGGCUUACCAAGCAUUAGAGCAAUGUUUCCCGAACUUGACAGGUGGCCCCAAAAAGACGCCUGACUCUCUACGCCGCUGCUCGGUGCCCAUCAUCCACUCCCACGCCUCUCGCCUCAAAGAGGAAGCGGCCGUGGGCAUCCCGGCCGCCACGAUGAGUCACCUGCAGCCGGGCUAAAUUGAGACCAACGAAACAAGGAAGUGGGCCGACGGAAAGUUUGCCAAGGAGAAGAUGACGAAGCCCAUGCUUCUCUUGUGACUCCCCCCCAGGGGGAGGGGGGAUGAUGGGCUUUCCACUGCUACAAAUUUAGACUUCCGGAAUGAGAUUAAAAGUCAUUAAAGGUC